AGGGAGGCAGCAGUGGGGGAUAUUGCACAAUGGAGGAAACUCUGAUGCAGCAACGCCGCGUGAGGGAAGAAGGUUUUCGGAUUGUAAACCUCUGUUCUUAGUGAAGAAACAAAUGACGGUAGCUAAAGAGGAAGCCACGGCUAACUACGUGCCAGCAGCCACGGUAAUACGUAGGUGGCAAGCGUUGUCCGGAAUUACUGGGUGUAAAGGGAGCGCAGGCGGGACUGCAAGUUGGAUGUGAAAUACCGAGGCUUAACUUCGGGGCUGCAUCCAAAACUGUAGUUCUUGAGUGAAGUAGAGGUUGGCGGAAUUCCGAGUGUAGCGGUGAAAUGCGUAGAUAUUCGGAGGAACACCAGUGGCGAAGGCGGCCAACUGGGCUUUAACUGACGCUGAGGCUCGAGAGUAUGGGGAGCAAACAGGAUUAGAUACCCUGGUA
rnacentral:rRNA from 1 species